rnacentral:rRNA from 1 species
AACGUAGGGUGCGAGCGUUAAUCGGAAUUACUGGGCGUAAAGCGUGCGCAGGCGGUUUUGUAAGCCAGAUGUGAAAUCCCCGGGCUCAACCUGGGAAUGGCAUUUGGGACUGCAAGGCUGGAGUGCGGCAGAGGAGACUGGAAUUCCUGGUGUAGCAGUGAAAUGCGUAGAUAUCAGGAGGAAUACCGAUGGCGAAGGCAGGUCUCUGGGCUGACACUGACGCUCAUGCACGAAAGCGUGGGGAGCAAACAGG